rnacentral:rRNA from 1 species
CCAAUAGCGUAUAUUAAGGUUGUUGCAGUUAAAAAGCUCGUAGUUGAAUUUCGGGAUUGACGUGACGGUCAUGCCUUAAGGGGUAUGAACUGUUACUGUUGAUUUCUCACCUUCUGGAGAAACUUGAUGUCCUUUAUUGGGUGUCUUGCGGAUCCAGGACCUUUACCUUGAAAAAAUUAGAGUGUUUAAAGCAGGCAUUUUUGCUCGAAUACAUUAGCAUGGAAUAAUAGAAUAGGACGGCAUGGUUCUAUUUUGUUGGUUUCUAGGAUCACCGUAAUGAUUAAUAGGGAUAGUUGGGGGCAUUAGUAUUCAAUUGUCAGAGGUGAAAUUCUUGGAUUUAUUGAAGACUAACUACUGCGAAAGCAUUUGCCAAGGAUGUUUUCAUUAAUCAAGAACGAAAGUUAGGGGAUCGAAGACGAUCAGAUACCGUCGUAGUCUUAACCAUAAACUAUGCCGACUAGGAAUCAGACGAUGUUAAUUUUUUAAUGACUCGUUUGGCACCUUACG